rnacentral:rRNA from 1 species
UUCCUACGGGGGGCAGCAGUGGGGAAUAUUGGGCAAUGGGCGCAAGCCUGACCCAGCAACGCCGCGUGAAGGAAGAAGGCUUUCGGGUUGUAAACUUCUUUUAAGAGGGACGAAGAAAGUGACGGUACCUCUUGAAUAAGCCACGGCUAACUACGUGCCAGCAGCCGCGGUAAUACGUAGGUGGCAAGCGUUAUCCGGAUUUAUUGGGUGUAAAGGGCGUGUAGGCGGGAAUGCAAGUCAGAUGUGAAAACUAUGGGCUCAACCCAUAGCCUGCAUUUGAAACUGUAUUUCUUGAGUGCUGGAGG